rnacentral:rRNA from 1 species
GGGUUGUGAGGUUAAGCGACUAAGCGUACACGGUGGAUGCCCUGGCAGUCAGAGGCGAUGAAGGACGUGCUAAUCUGCGAAAAGCGUCGGUAAGGUGAUAUGAACCGUUACAGCCGGCGAUGUCCGAAUGGGGAAACCCAGUGCAAUUCGUUGCACUAUCGUUAACUGAAUACAUAGGUUAACGAGGCGAACCGGGGGAACUGAAACAUCUAAGUACCCCGAGGAAAAGAAAUCAACCGAGAUUCCCCCAGUAGCGGCGAGCGAACGGGGAGCAGCCCAGAGUCUGAAUCAGCUUGUGUGUUAGUGGAACGGUCUGGAAAGUCCGACGGUACAGGGUGAUAGUCCCGUACACCAAAAUGCACAGGCUGUGAACUCGAAGAGUAGGGCGGGACACGUGGUAUCCUGUCUGAAUAUGGGGGGACCAUCCUCCAAGGCUAAAUACUCCUGACUGACCGAUAGUGAACCAGUACCGUGAGGGAAAGGCGAAAAGAACCCCGGCGAGGGGAGUGAAAAAGAACCUGAAACCGUGUACGUACAAGCAGUGGGAGCACCUUCGGGUGUGACUGCGUACCUUUUGUAUAAUGGGUCAGCGACUUAUAUUCUGUAGCAAGGUUAACCGUAUAGGGGAGCCGCAGGGAAACCGAGUCUUAACUGGGCGUUAAGUUGCAGGGUAUAGACCCGAAACCCGGUGAUCUAGCCAUGGGCAGGUUGAAGGUUGGGUAACACUAACUGGAGGACCGAACCGACUAAUGUUGAAAAAUUAGCGGAUGACUUGUGGCUGGGGGUGAAAGGCCAAUCAAACCGGGAGAUAGCUGGUUCUCCCCGAAAGCUAUUUAGGUAGCGCCUCGUGAAUUCAUCUUCGGGGGUAGAGCACUGUUUCGGCUAGGGGGUCAUCCCGACUUACCAACCCGAUGCAAACUACGAAUACCGAAGAAUGUUAUCACGGGAGACACACGGCGGGUGCUAACGUCCGUCGUGAAGAGGGAAACAACCCAGACCGCCAGCUAAGGUCCCAAAGUCAUGGUUAAGUGGGAAACGAUGUGGGAAGGCACAGACAGCCAGGAUGUUGGCUUAGAAGCAGCCAUCAUUUAAAGAAAGCGUAAUAGCUCACUGGUCGAGUCGGCCUGCGCGGAAGAUGUAACGGGGCUAAACCAUGCACCGAAGCUGCGGCAGCGACACUAUGUGUUGUUGGGUAGGGGAGCGUUCUGUAAGCCUGCGAAGGUGUGCUGUGAGGCAUGCUGGAGGUAUCAGAAGUGCGAAUGCUGACAUAAGUAACGAUAAAGCGGGUGAAAAGCCCGCUCGCCGGAAGACCAAGGGUUCCUGUCCAACGUUAAUCGGGGCAGGGUGAGUCGACCCCUAAGGCGAGGCCGAAAGGCGUAGUCGAUGGGAAACAGGUUAAUAUUCCUGUACUUGGUGUUACUGCGAAGGGGGGACGGAGAAGGCUAUGUUAGCCGGGCGACGGUUGUCCCGGUUUAAGCAUGUAGGCUGGUUGUCCAGGCAAAUCCGGAUAAUCAAGGCUGAGGUGUGAUGACGAGGCACUACGGUGCUGAAGUAACAAAUGCCCUGCUUCCAGGAAAAGCCUCUAAGCAUCAGGUAACAUUAAAUCGUACCCCAAACCGACACAGGUGGUCAGGUAGAGAAUACCAAGGCGCUUGAGAGAACUCGGGUGAAGGAACUAGGCAAAAUGGUGCCGUAACUUCGGGAGAAGGCACGCUGGUGUGUAGGUGAAGUCCCUGCGGAUGGAGCUGAGACCAGUCGAAGAUACCAGCUGGCUGCAACUGUUUAUUAAAAACACAGCACUGUGCAAACACGAAAGUGGACGUAUACGGUGUGACGCCUGCCCGGUGCCGGAAGGUUAAUUGAUGGGGUUAUCCGUAAGGAGAAGCUCUUGAUCGAAGCCCCGGUAAACGGCGGCCGUAACUAUAACGGUCCUAAGGUAGCGAAAUUCCUUGUCGGGUAAGUUCCGACCUGCACGAAUGGCGUAAUGAUGGCCAGGCUGUCUCCACCCGAGACUCAGUGAAAUUGAACUCGCUGUGAAGAUGCAGUGUACCCGCGGCAAGACGGAAAGACCCCGUGAACCUUUACUAUAGCUUGACACUGAACAUUGAGCCUUGAUGUGUAGGAUAGGUGGGAGGCUUUGAAGCGUGGACGCCAGUCUGCGUGGAGCCAACCUUGAAAUACCACCCUUUAAUGUUUGAUGUUCUAACGUUGGCCCCUGACCGGGGUUGCGGACAGUGUCUGGUGGGUAGUUUGACUGGGGCGGUCUCCUCCCAAAGCGUAACGGAGGAGCACGAAGGUUAGCUAAUCCUGGUCGGACAUCAGGAGGUUAGUGCAAUGGCAUAAGCUAGCUUGACUGCGAGCGUGACGGCGCGAGCAGGUGCGAAAGCAGGUCAUAGUGAUCCGGUGGUUCUGAAUGGAAGGGCCAUCGCUCAACGGAUAAAAGGUACUCCGGGGAUAACAGGCUGAUACCGCCCAAGAGUUCAUAUCGACGGCGGUGUUUGGCACCUCGAUGUCGGCUCAUCACAUCCUGGGGCUGAAGUAGGUCCCAAGGGUAUGGCUGUUCGCCAUUUAAAGUGGUACGCGAGCUGGGUUUAGAACGUCGUGAGACAGUUCGGUCCCUAUCUGCCGUGGGCGCUGGAGAAUUGAGGGGGGCUGCUCCUAGUACGAGAGGACCGGAGUGGACGCAUCACUGGUGUUCGGGUUGUCAUGCCAAUGGCACUGCCCGGUAGCUAAAUGCGGAAGAGAUAAGUGCUGAAAGCAUCUAAGCACGAAACUUGCCCCGAGAUGAGUUCUCCCUGAGACUUUAAGUCUCCUGAAGGAACGUUGAAGACGACGACGUUGAUAGGCCGGGUGUGUAAGCGCAGCGAUGCGUUGAGCUAACCGGUACUAAUGAACCGUGAGGCUUAACCUUACAACGCCGAAG